GCCCGGUUAGCUCAAUCGGUAGAGCGUGAGACUCUUAAUCUCAAGGUUGCGGGUAAGUUUACAUGACAAAAGCUAGCAACGUGGAAGACCCAAAACUAACUUGGAAUCCGUAGGUUCGACCCCCGCAUCGGGCU